rnacentral:ncRNA from 1 species
GCUUUGGUGCCAAGCGGCAUAAACGGGAAUCCGGUGUAAAUCCGGAGCUGGCGCGCAACGGUAAUAAGGAACGAGACGACACUAUUAGGCACUGCCAUGAGGUGGGAAGCCGUCGUUUAGGUAAGCACUAGCUUGAGCCUUUAAGCCCGAAAACCUGCCAAAGCUAAAA